ensembl:lncRNA
UGAUUCUGCAGUUGAACAGGUUCAGGAUGACGAAACGUUACACAGUGCAAAAGGUGGAGACGCCAGUGGACAUCACACCUGAGCUGCAGAUAAACUGCUUUCCUCAGUCAGACACGCCCGGAAUAGGGUGGAUCAACCUCUACCUAUCGACUGAUCAGUGUCCUCAACCACAUUGGAAGGACAGCAUGCUUUGGACAUUAUGUGAGUGACUGUUCCAGUCACAAUUCUCACCAGUGGAAGAUCUAUGACGAUGAGCUGGUCAGGCUGACCAGCGAGACGGACGUGUUAGAGAGGAGGUCGACCAGCGCCUAUGUGCUCCUCUAUGAGAGAGUGAGCACUGGCUGAAGCCCUUCCUCUUCUCCAGAAAGCUGCGAGAAGAUGGAUUUGUGAUGAGAGGUGUCAGGGCAAGUGAGAGUGGUGAUGGCAUAGGGGCACACAGGGUAAGACUAUAGAGUAUUUUGGUAAGUAUCUCUUGCGACGACCCUUUUGGUCUAGUGGACCUUGGAGGCAGAUCACGUUAAUAAAGCUCCACUAGUGUUGCAGGUGUCUGUUGCAGCCAGACUAUCUGCACCUGUGUGUUCGGCCCCUUGGACCGGUGAGCGGCUCGAUAACUGCACAGUAGCAAUCCAGGAAGUGAUCCUGAACUCUAGAGCCGAUAGUACGCAGGCCAUGUAUGCGCUAAAGUGCUAGCCUUUUUGCAGGGACUGCCAUAUAGUGGUAAAUCACCAUCUGUGCUGAAAAUGUAUGUGGCAGCCAUUUUGGCCUGACUGCAGCACACAGGAUAACAUCUAGUUGGGAGCACAUAGGUUUAUAACAGUGUUGUGAGCUAAGGAGCUAAGCACCUCCAUUUGCCUAACCCCUCCAAGAGCCAGCGUGUGAUCUUGCCAUCUUGUUGGAGGGUACAGGAUGCUGAUCUGAAAUUCAUAAGCGUAGAAUACUUUUUCCUUGCCAUCACCUGAGCAAAAAAAAAGUGGAAGAACUGCAUGCCUUGGUGAGAAGAUCACCCUGCAUGCUCUUUUGGCGAGAUGAUUAUGGAGUGACAUUCGUGGCUGAACCCAGGGUUCCUGCUUAAGGUUGUAUCUUAGACACUGUACUGUAGAACUGUACCUAAACACUUCUGCUGUAAACAUAAACACCCUCAGGUUCAUAAAGAACAUUUUUCCAACGCCCUCAAUACUGUUCGUCUAUAGUACAUUUAGGAUUUAGGAAGAGUAAUGAUUUAUAAUCUCACUAUCCUGUGUGCCCCAGAAGAGGAUGGGUUCCCUUUGAGCCUGGCUCCUCUCAAGGUUUCUUCCUCGUCAUCUGAGGGAGUUAUUCCUCGCCUCUGGCUUGCUCAAUAGGGAUUUAAAUGUAUAUCCAGAGUUCUGGCAAGCUACACCACUGUCAUUUUAUGAUGGCAUGCAUGCGCUAGCACACUACUCGGGUAUUAGACACCACCCCUGGCGUUUAUCCAAUCUUCCCAGCAAGCUCAAGAUCUAUCACCAGUAAUUUCGAUUUAAUUUCAAUGUCUGCAGCUUUAAAAAUAAAUUACAUUCUCAAAUCUUGCAA